rnacentral:rRNA from 1 species
CGAAAACGAAUUCUCUCUUGAGUGGAUCCUGAGUACGACGGAGCACGUGAAAUUCCGUCGGAAUCUGGGAGGACCAUCUCCUAAGGCUAAAUACUCUCUAGUGACCGAUAGUGAACCAGUACCGUGAGGGAAAGGUGAAAAGUACCCCGGAAGGGGAGUGAAAGAGAACUUGAAACCGUGUGCUUACAAGUAGUCAGAGCCCGUUAAUGGGUGAUGGCGUGCCUUUUGUAGAAUGAACCGGCGAGUUACGAUCUGAUGCAAGGUUAAGCAGAAAAUGUGGAGCCGUAGCGAAAGCGAGUCUGAAUAGGGCGAAUGAGUAUUUGGUCGUAGACCCGAAACCAGGUGAUCUACCCUUGGUCAGGUUGAAGUUCAGGUAACACUGAAUGGAGGACCGAACCGACUUACGUUGAAAAGUGAGCGGAUGAACUGAGGGUAGCGGAGAAAUUCCAAUCGAACUUGGAGAUAGCUGGUUCUCUCCGAAAUAGCUUUAGGGCUAGCCUCAAGUGAUGAUUAUUGGAGGUAGAGCACUGUUUGGACGAGGGGCCCCUCUCGGGUUACCGAAUUCAGACAAACUCCGAAUGCCAAAUAAUUUAACUUGGGAGUCAGAAUGUGGGUGAUAAGGUCCAUAUUCGAAAGGGAAACAGCCCAGACCACCAGCUAAGGUCCCAAAAUAUAUGUUAAGUGGAAAAGGAUGUGGCGUUGCCCAGACAACUAGGAUGUUGGCUUAGAAGCAGCCAUCAUUUAAAGAGUGCGUAAUAGCUCACUAGUCGAGUGACACUGCGCCGAAAAUGUACCGGGGCUAAACAUAUUACCGAAGCUGUGGAUUGUCCUUUGGACAAUGGUAGGAGAGCGUUCUAAGGGCGUUGAAGCAUGAUCGCAAGGACAUGUGGAGCGCUUAGAAGUGAGAAUGCCGGUGUGAGUAGCGAAAGACGGGUGAGAAUCCCGUCCACCGAUUGACUAAGGUUUCCAGAGGAAGGCUCGUCCGCUCUGGGUUAGUCGGGUCCUAAGCUGAGGCCGACAGGCGUAGGCGAUGGAUAACAGGUUGAUAUUCCUGUACCACCAUUAUUCGUUUUAAGCGAUGGGGGGACGCAGUAGGAUAGGCGAAGCGUGCUGUUGGAGUGCACGUCCAAGCAGUGAGAUUGAGUGUUAGGCAAAUCCGGCACUCUUAAGAUUGAGCUGUGAUGGGGAGAGGAACUUGUUCCUCGAGUCGUUGAUUUCACACUGCCGAGAAAAGCCUCUAGCUAGAAUAACGGUGCCCGUACCGCAAACCGACACAGGUAGUCAAGAUGAGAAUUCUAAGGUGAGCGAGCGAACUCUCGUUAAGGAACUCGGCAAAAUGACCCCGUAACUUCGGGAGAAGGGGUGCUCUUUGAGGUUCACGCUUCGAAGAGCCGCAGUGAAUAGGCCCAAGCGACUGUUUAUCAAAAACACAGGUCUCUGCUAAACCGUAAGGUGACGUAUAGGGGCUGACGCCUGCCCGGUGCUGGAAGGUUAAGAGGAGUGGUUAGCGCAAGCGAAGCUACGAAUCGAAGCCCCAGUAAACGGCGGCCGUAACUAUAACGGUCCUAAGGUAGCGAAAUUCCUUGUCGGGUAAGUUCCGACCCGCACGAAAGGCGUAACGAUUUGGGCACUGUCUCAACGAGAGACUCGGUGAAAUCAUAGUACCGGUGAAGAUGCCGGUUACCCGCGACAGGACGGAAAGACCCCGUGGAGCUUUACUGUAGCCUGAUAUUGAAAUUCGGUACAGUUUGUACAGGAUAGGUAGGAGCCUUAGAAGCGUGAGCGCUAGCUUACGUGGAGGCAUUGGUGGGAUACUACCCUAAUUGUAUUGGAUUUCUAACCCGCAGCACUUAUCGUGCUGGGAGACAGUGUCAGGCGGGCAGUUUGACUGGGGCGGUCGCCUCCUAAAGAGUAACGGAGGCGCUCAAAGGUUCCCUCAGAAUGGUUGGAAAUCAUUCAUAGAGUGUAAAGGCAUAAGGGAGCUUGACUGCGAGACCUACAAGUCGAGCAGGGUCGAAAGACGGACUUAGUGAUCCGGUGGUUCCGCAUGGAAGGGCCAUCGCUCAACGGAUAAAAGCUACCCCGGGGAUAACAGGCUUAUCUCCCCCAAGAGUUCACAUCGACGGGGAGGUUUGGCACCUCGAUGUCGGCUCAUCGCAUCCUGGGGCUGUAGUCGGUCCCAAGGGUUGGGCUGUUCGCCCAUUAAAGCGGUACGCGAGCUGGGUUCAGAACGUCGUGAGACAGUUCGGUCCCUAUCCGUCGUGGGCGUAGGAAAUUUGAGAGGAGCUGUCCUUAGUACGAGAGGACCGGGAUGGACAUACCUCUGGUGUACCAGUUGUCGUGCCAACGGCAUAGCUGGGUAGCUAUGUAUGGACGGGAUAAGUGCUGAAAGCAUCUAAGCAUGAAGCCCCCCUCGAGAUGAGAUU